UUUUAAAGUUUAUUAAUCAGCAGUUAAAAACCACAUCAUUUCCAGACAAUGAUUACACAAAAAUAGAAGCAUAUUAUAUAUUCUUAUAGCAUUAGUUAAUACACACCAAGGUUAUGUUCAUGUUUAUUUGAACAGAAUAAGCAUUAUCUGGGACAAGAAGAGGAGCUUCAUCUCACCCACCUAUGAUGGAGUAAAUAGUAAAAUGCUUCUCCUCCUUUGGGAAGCAUGUGCCGCCUGUGGUUCCGGGCACAGUGAAGGAUAAAGGCGGAAGGUUGGGGAAGCACAUUGUUGGGCAGUGAGUCAGGGCAUCAUGUGCCCACUCCAACGGCAGGCAGGUUCACCUGGAGCACUCCCAAGUGGUACACAUGGGAAAGGGAUGGCAGCAUUUGACUGCCUUCUUCAGGAGUGAUCUGGAGGAAAGGCAAGGCCAGCUGAGCACACAAGUGAGCCAGACGUGAAAAGAGCAAUCCAGUGUGGGGACUUUCCUAUGAAAUGUUUGUGAUCUUUUGGGGAGGAGAGAGGGUUUUGAGGAACUCUGUCCCUUGUUCCUUAACGGUUUAGUCCACAAAACCAGAACGAAUUAAAGUUAUCUAUUGUGGACUCCACAAUUCAAUUAGACAACAAAGCUCCGCUCUUGCUCUCCAGGUUUUAUGUUCCUCCAUGAGCAUCCCUAGGAGAAUUUUAGUUCAGCUUCCUCAUUUUUUAUAUGAGGAAAUUAUAGCCUAGGGAGGCUAAUAAACGUGGUCAAGGAAUACUAUUGUGUUAAAAGAAGUGAACCGGAGGAUUGUUUCAGAAAAACUUGGGAAGGCUUCUACAAACUGAGGCAAAGUGAAGGGAGCAGAACCAGACCGCUGUACACAGGAACAAUAAGAUGAUCAAUUGUGAACGACAGCUACGCUGAUCAAGGUAAUGACUCACUAAAAUCCCAAUGAACUCAGGAUCAAAAAUGCCAUCCGAAUCCAGGCAGAGAACUUGGAGUGCAGAUUGAAGCAUAUUGUUUUCUGCUUUCUCCAUUUUUCUUCCCCCCGCCCCCCCAAUGUGGCUAAUAUGGAAGUGUUUUACAUGACUUCACAUAAAUAAUAAAUAUCAUAUUGUUCAACUUCUCAUUGGGUAGGGGAGAGGAUGGUGGGAGGGAAUCUGGAACUUAAAAUGUUGAAAAAUAAAAAAUUUUCAAGAAAGAAAAUUCAAUAAGUUUAAUAGAAAAACUGUUAAUAAAGUUAAAUUGUUAAUAUUAAAAAUAAAAAUUCAUGACAAAUGAAAGAGAAAUAAAGUAAAAUAUUAAAAAAAAAAACCUGGCCAAGGUUAUAUGGUAAUAGAUAGGAUUUGAUCCCAGAUCCUCUGAUGACAAAGCCAGAAUUAUUCUCACUGCAUCCAUCAUGCUUCCUCCCAAAAGUGUGUUUUCCAUAAAAUGUAGGCAGCUGCUGUCUUGUGAUAAAAGCUAAGAAACUAGAACUAAUGUUCUACCAAAUGGUUCUCAUGUUAAAUAACGAAUGGCUGUUAAGAGGGCAGGCAAGGCAGCUGAGUAAUCUUAUCACAAGGUACUUGGCUGCUAAAAGGACCUUGCUGGGGGUGUAAGGCUGCUCUGAAAUUUCCUCCACUGGUCUCUGCAUGGGAUUGAAAGAUAUUUAGGCAAGUGAAAUUUUAAAACCUAAUAUUUUAUUUCCAAGUAGCUAGAUGGGAGAGUAACCUAAUUAGCAGGAAUACAAUCCUAGAGUUUUUAUUUAGAAGAUUUAUAAUUUUUCGAAACUCAAGGCAAAAGAAGUAUGCAUCAUUGAUUCCCUAGAAACUUUCUGUAUAAGGGGUGGAGUUUUAAAAAUAUUUCCAUUAAAAUCAUAGACUAGCAGGGCAGUUUAGAAUACAUAGCAUUUACAAACUUGAAAUGUUAAUUAGUAUGAAAUGGAGAUUCACAGUUUCAGAUGGAGUUCUAUUUUUGUAUUUUGUUUAUAGAAAUACUCUUUUUAGGAAAGUUCUAAGUUCAGAAUCUUAAAAAUUUUGAUGCAAAGGGGGAAAAAAUAUUUCCAUUAAGUAGCCAAGAAGGGGAUUAAAGAGUAGGUAGAAGUUUUCAGGUCAUCAGAAAUCCCUCAUUAUGUGCCAAGCUCCAUCAUACUGCCACAUUCCUGAGUUUUACUGGCAACUGUGGACUUGGAGAAAACAGUGGGUAAGACCAAGGAAGGGCCCUGAACAAGGGCUUGAGUCUGAGAGUUUGAAGGGCCUCCAAAAGCCAGGUAGUCCAACAGAUACCUGAAAGGAAUCCCUAUUACAUAGUGAAUAAGGGGCAACUCAGCAAGUCUGGAGACCUUCAGUGAGGGAGAAUCUACCACCACUCCAAGCAGCCAAUUUCACUUUAGACUCCUCUAAUUUUUAGGAUAUCUUUCCUAAUAGCAACCCUAAAUUUGUCCUUUGGCAACUUCUACCCACUGCUUCUUGUUCAACCCUCAGGGAUGAACAGAAUAAGUACCUAUAUGACACCUUAUCAAGAUUUGUAGGUGAUGGAGACAGGUUUGCUCUUACUUCUCCAAUUUAUACCUCAAUUAGAAACUCAGUAACUGGACCAAAACUAUGUUCUAACUUCCUUACGGCAGGUAAAAGUAUAACAAAUCUGCACGGAUUUUUGGAUAGAGCUGCAAAGAACUCUGGAGCUGGCUAUCACUGGUGGCUCCCUGAUGCUAAGAUGAGAAACUGGUAUUCUCCCAUCCUCCCUGUUCUUCACUUUUUUUCUCCCAUCACCCUCUCAAUAAUUGCCCUUGUAAGUGCCUAAUAAAUGCUUUUCAUGUGUUUCUAUCCUGCACUAGGCUAUCAUUCAACUAUCAAUAGUCUAGAAAACAUAAUUCUUUUGUACUAAAUACAAAAAGUUCAGCUUUGCAAUAAUCCACAAAUUAAAUCAUUUCCCAUGAAUACAAUAUAGGAUAGGUUAGGGCUGGAAAAAGUCUUGGAAAAAAUUUAGUUCAAACUCUGUACUUUAAGAUGAAGAAACUGAGGUCCACUUUAGAAAUGAUGUGUCCCACAUCACAAGCCAGUAAGGUCUUUUCAAAAGUUCUAAUUCAAACCUUGUCUCCUCUGAUCCCAAAUCCAGUGUGAAAUUCACUUUACUGUGCUGUUUUUAUACACACACAUGCACAUGCGCACAUGCACACACACACAUACACAUAUAUAGAAUCUUUGUGUAUAAAGUUUAUAUGUAUAUCUACAUAUAUUCAAGAACAUAUUAAAAAAGUGUUUAUAUAUAUGACAAUCAAUCAAAUAGAAAAUAAAAAUAAAUCUAAAUAGAGAAUCCAACAACUUUAAAUACAACACUGCUGUGGUCCAAGAACUGGGUCAAUGCUCACAGAAAUGAGAAGAAAAUAUCCUUUGCUCUGAUUUUAGUACUGGAAUCAUAAAUGCUGACCUAAAUUAUGUUUUAGAAGUUCAUUAGUGGAAGUAAUUUGCAUUGUUAGACAUUUAAUUCUCCUUACAAUAAACAAUUUAAAAAGUUAAACUAGAGAAUAUGGAGACUGAGACUAAAAACAACAACAACAACAACAACAACAACAGCAACAACAACAACAACAACAACAAAAAACAAACUCUUUCCAAACAGAAAUAGUGAUUUCUUUGAAUUUAAUAUUUCUUGCUUUGGUACCUCAUAAGACAGAAAAAGGGACAAACAGGCAAGCAGUUGGCUUUUUUUCUGGAAGAGCCAUGGGGGACUGUUAUAAUUUCAUUGGCUUCCUAUGACUGUUGGGACUUUGACUAGAUAGACUUCGCCUUUUGCUGUCUUCCUCUAAUUCAGAAAAAUCAUAUUGGUGAUUUUUCCAUGCUGGUGCGCAGGCAGAGGUUUAACUACUACCCUUCUAAAACAAGAGUUUAGACAAAAGAGCCAGAGAGAACAGGGAUAACAAAGAAUAUUAGAAGGGACAAAGAGUCAACUUUUGGUUAAAUACAAACAUAAA
rnacentral:lncRNA from 1 species